CUUAUGUAUUUGAUUUUGCUUAAUUGACCUUUCAAGUCAGCCAGCUUAUUUGAAAUAGUAAAUUCCGUAACCUCAAGAUGAAAUGUAAUCAUGUAUUUUAGAGAUCAACUCUUGUCCGCUGGUGAUGCAGAAAGACACUCGUGAAACUGCUAAGCCAAUCGCAGUCUGCCAGCACUCGACUUUUACUAUUUAGUAGAAGAGGCAGCUGGCGGGGAGCAGUGGUGCUGUCCUGUGGAUGUUUUAGCGGAGUCUGAAGACCGGAGUCCCGUUGGACGUGCUGACUCCUCCGCCACUCCUGGGACAGCAGCCCACCACGAGUACCUACGAUGGCUGUUUUACGACUUGAACUGUCUCCACGUUCACAUCUGAGCAGCAAGCCCUUGAGGUCUGGGCGGGGAAGGGGAGAAUGUCCAUGGUGGAGGAGGAGAGCUGGGAGACUUGUCUGGAAGCUGUAUUUGCAUAUGUUAUGGAGAAUAGUAGCCCCCUCAACUGGAAAACAUGGGAAUUGGAGAGGAAUGUGGCCAGUGUCCUGGUGGCGGCCGCCUGGUGAUCGCUAAGAGAGCUUCGUGUUGAGUAUUUCCUGUAUCAUCAUCACCACAUAACUGAAGCUGGACUGUUUUGCCUGUUCUUUGAAAACUGGGUUUUUAAUUUUAAAAUGACUGCCUUUCAGCAAUGGCAUUAACAUCGUG
rnacentral:lncRNA from 1 species